CAGCUGCUGGGCCUGGUGGGCCACAUCAACUGUGGUCAGGGUAGACACCCUGUAGCCAAGGUUAAUAUCUGAGCCACAGACCAAAUUGGCAGUUAAAGCCGGUACUCAGGACAUUCCGUUGGGCUAGAGAGGGAGAACCACUCAGCUGGCUUAAUGAAAGACACAGGUGUGGGACUUUGUCAGCAGAUGCAAGCCUGGAGCCACCACACAGCAGAGAGGAGUAGGAACCCAGAGUAUGGAAGCCCCUUCCUCUCCUGCACCAAGUCACUCACAGCACCAUGAUGGGCAGCAGUAGAAGGAUUAGAAACCACACCACCCUGAUAGGAGUUGAACUUUUCUUCAACUGGCUCUUAAGCUGACAUGAGAUUGUGCUAGUUGGAAGAUACCAAGAUACUCUUAAAAGAGAAGAUGAAGUUCUCAUGUUUCAACCCCUAUUACUAUUGACUGUCAACUUCCCAAAAGACCCCAGAAAAACAUGUUAAUGGAACAAAACUAAGUUUAUUAGAUUUACUGUAGUAUAAGAGAAAACCACCUUGGUAGAGUGUUGAUAGUGCCUCAGGUUGACAAAGUCAGGGUCUGCACUGGGGGAAUUCUAAGGUAGCUUCUGCAAGGUGGGGAGUAGCUUGGGACUGGGCAGGGUUUCUACCCUAAGAAUUCUCAAUUGGUAAGCCCCGCAAGGCCAAGGAUCCUGAAACAAAUCUAGAUAAGAAAGAUACUGGAUUUUAUAAGCUAGCUAUUUUAGUGGAUUUACUGCCUCAUUUUUGGUAAGCAAGUCUUCCUGAAGCAAGCAGGCUUUGGAAUAAGAUGAAGUCACCCAAACUCCAUUGUGAAAUCUAGUCUCCUUGCAAUCCGUCUGACCUCAGAGAGGCAAACAAAAUGUCUGUUUGGGAGAUGGUACAGAUGAGGAAAUGGAAGCCUCCAGAUGUAGGUUCUCUGGACCAGACCGCCGCAGCAGAGACCUGUGUUUUCUCCUGGGGAUUCGGAAACCCCACUCCCCUUGCCUUCAGAGGCGCUGCCGCCCUCCAUCGUGGGGCAGAGGUGAAGAAACAAAGAAAGUGUCCUUUUCAUCGCCAUAGAAUGAAAAACAAUUCAUCACCACAAUUACUCACCAAACCUGAGAGGAGGACAGAAGAAAACAUGUUUACGUUACUUUUUCUUUCAUUAAAAAGCAACAUGUGUUUUUGCCCAUCAGAUAGAAAACACAGAUGCAGAAAAAGGUAAACAAUUCAAAGAAAACCCUCUCUUCUAGAAAUACUUAACAGUUACUAAUUAUAAAGACACAUAGGAGUUGCA